rnacentral:rRNA from 1 species
GACAGAGGGUGCAAACGUUGUUCGGAAUUACUGGGCGUAAAGCGCGUGUAGGCGGCUAUGCAAGUCGGGCGUGAAAGCCCACGGCUCAACCGUGGAAGUGCACUCGAAACUGCGUAGCUAGAGUCCCGGAGAGGAAGGUGGAAUACUUGGUGUAGAGGUGAAAUUCGUAGAUAUCAAGUGGAACACCGGUGGCGAAGGCGGCCUUCUGGACGGUGACUGACGCUGAGACGCGAAAGCGUGGGGAGCAAAC